UUCAAGAAGCCUAUGUAUAAAGAGAGGGAUGUUUUUGCUAGGGCAUUUUCAUUCAACAACUUGUAACACACACAAACACAAGAGAUAAAAAAUACUAGAUGGUGAGAGUAUGGGGAGAGAUAAGUAUAACUGAUGGUGGUGGUGCUAACUGGUUAGUGUUGUGGGCAGCUUUUCUCAGCCUUUGCAUCGUCUCCACUGUGGUUUUUUCGUGUGCAGGUGGUGUAGCCAAAGAGAAAACCACAGCAACCGAUACAGAGUACUACGGCGGUGGAUGCGCUGCCGGCUGCGGCGCAGCAUGUGGUGCAUGAAAUAUCCAUCUCUUUACAAUAUCUAAUCAUUAAAGUGCGAGAGUGUGGACUUUUUGAGUUGCCAUGGAGUAUUACAGCAUGUAGCACCACUAUGUGCCUUACCAGGCAUAAUAUCCAAAUCAAUGUCCGAAAACGAAGAAUAAGAUGUGUACACUCUCUUCCCAGCUGAUCCAGAAUCGCAGUGCCUUACGUGCUGCGCCACGUGCGAUCCAACCUUGCAAGGUACCUUGAUGCAACACCAGACACCGGUUAAAGGGCAAGAAAGGCACAGCAAGCAGGCACUGCAGAGAAACUCGGUGGCUUUUCGCUCCAUUUCGCCUUUCGUCCAUGCGAAGAAGUGUAACUAGAAACAGAACGAGAAUUCGAAGGCCUUCCAGUGUCCAUCUUGCUUCGUUUGGCAUCUAAGGAUUCGUUCAACCUAGCUUAAUGUUUGCUGUUACUCCUUUUCUAAGGUUACAUCAACUUGGUGUUCGGGGUCGACUUCUUUAUCUUCCUUUUUCCUCUUUUCUGUUUUACUUUCUGUACAAGCUUUUCACUUUUUAUCAUCUUCGUAGAGCACUUGCAAUAUGCUCCGGCCGCCUUCCAGGGUGCUAGGGUCGUCAAGAACCAACUGCCUUGCAAUAUCGAAAGGCAAAGCAAAAGGGGGAACUGCGCGCCGUUGCAGGACCAGCAGGGAGGGGAGGGAAAAGAAAGGCAGAAACCUUCUCAGCCCUACGAUGGUUCGGGUUUCUUCAACUUUUCCCAGUUUUAACGCCGGAUGAUGUUAUGCAUCGACGAAGAAAUAGGAAAGACUCGGAUUCCAAAUUGAAGAUAAUCUAUUUUCCUGGUGGAAGCAAAGUUAUGAAGCAACUCAACGGUAGUACAUUAAGCUAACAGCGAAAGAUCUUGCCGAACCAGAAAGAUGUUUAAAAGCAUUGCACAUAAACUUCAAAACAACACUGAUCUUAACAAGUUAUACAUCCAUGUGAACUUUUCAAGGACUAGAAGGUAAAGCAAAUGACUGCCAACAGUAGCAACUAGCAAAAUGUAUCUAUCCGUGCACUAAAUAUCCGUGCUGAAUGUCGAGAAAAUGUCAUCCCAGACCAAGAAACUUAUUUGUGCUGCUAGAAUUCAAAGUCUCAAGCAGGUACUGCGCUCUUUCCUUGCAAUCUCAUGGUCUUGUUGUGCAGCCUCUCCAUGAAUGCGGGAUUUGCUCUUAAUCUCUCCUUGACAUACGAAACUCGAGCAUCCUCAGCCAGUUUGUUAGCCUUCCCAGCUUCCUCAAUAAGGGAAAAAAGUGUCCUAAGGCAAUCCUUUCUAUUUU